AUGCACGCUGGCGGCGUGCCUAAUACAUGCCCGUCGAGCGAACAGACGAGGAGCUUGCUCCUCUGACGUUAGCGGCGGACGGGUGAGUAACACGUGGAUAACCUACCUAUAAGACUGGGAUAACUUCGGGAAACCGGAGCUAAUACCGGAUAAUUUAUUGAACCGCAUGGUUCAAUAGUGAAAGACGGUUUUGCUGUCACUUAUAGAUGGAUCCGCGCCGCAUUAGCUAGUUGGUAAGGUAACGGCUUACCAAGGCGACGAUGCGUAGCCGACCUGAGAGGGUGAUCGGCCACACUGGAACUGAGACACGGUCCAGACUCCUACGGGAGGCAGCAGUAGGGAAUCUUCCGCAAUGGGCGAAAGCCUGACGGAGCAACGCCGCGUGAGUGAUGAAGGUCUUCGGAUCGUAAAACUCUGUUAUUAGGGAAGAACAAAUGUGUAAGUAACUAUGCACGUCUUGACGGUACCUAAUCAGAAAGCCACGGCUAACUACGUG
rnacentral:rRNA from 1 species